rnacentral:lncRNA from 1 species
AUCUCUCUACUUCUGGUUCUCUUUAAAACCGUCCCCCUUCCUCUCCUAUCCGCUGGGUUCAUUUCUCCUUCUUCGUCCACUUUUUGACAUGAAUCCAUGGUGGUUUCACCACCACCAAGCCACCUAUGACUCAUCGCAUUUGGUUACUGAAGCUGCAUGACUCGACCACGAAGAGUUGUGUCCAAACCUCUGUUGACUGAGUUCCACGGCCAUCUCCAGCUUGCUCCGGUAAUCCAUGCCUUUUUGAGCCUGGCCUCGACUCCUCCUUUUUAGAUCGAAGCCUUUCUCAUCGUUUAGGUAGCUCUGAAAACCCUAGUUUUGAGGUUUUCCUUGAUCUCUUUAGAUCUCUUUUAGAUAUAUGCUUUCCUUAAGAUUUUAAAUGAUUUUCUUGAUUUUUCUUUUAAAAAACUACUUUUAAAACUGUUUCUUUUCCGACCUAGGGUUUUUCUAAGAUAUUUAAAUGUUUCUCUGACUUUCUUUUUCUUUUAUGUGUUUCUUCUACUGCAUUUUCCUCUACUAUAUUCUUGUAUGUUUCUUCUACUAUAUUUUCCUCUACUGUGUUCUUGUGUGAGUUUCUUAUUAAGUGUUCUAGUUAAGUUUCUCCUAAUAUGCUUCUCCUAUUGGUCUUAGUAAUUUUUUCCAUUAUGUUUCUUAUUAGUUCUUCUACCAUGUUGCUUUGAGUUUCUCUACUGUGUUUCACAUGCUAUUCUUUACUAUGCCGUUCAUGAGUUUCUGCUACUGAUAGACGGUUCAAGGGUCUCAGUUUUUUUUGAGACCCCUAAACCUGUUUUCAUGUAGUAUCUUUUCCCCUUAGUCACCUGUACUUUCGUCUCUGCACUCGGAUAAUGACAAGAACCCUGAAUUUUUGGGUUCAGUGGAGUUUUGAGACCCCUGGAUACGUGAUUUGUUGGAUAUUCAUCUUUGAACUUGCCUGGUUUCGAAAACCCUAAUUUUUGGACCUAUUUGAGUUCCUGGAAUUGUCAUUUACUGCUUCAUUAAGCUUCAGAAUCAUUGUUUCAGUGUUGUUUCUUCAUAUGAAUCUGACUUUUUCCGAACUCUACAAGACCUUUUUAUUGAUCCCUUCUCGCAUGCCUGAUACUUGUGUACUCUUUAUAUGUGCUGGACUUCCC